UAAAAAGAGAGUUGCCUUCUUCUUUAUGUUAUAAGAUGCUCGUUGGAGUAGUCGCCAUGGCCAGGGAGCAUCGUCUCUUUGAGCGGACUAAAGGCAUCAAUGGUCUAGAAAAGAUCAUCAUCAGCGAUCGUCACUGCCAAUCUUUCGGGGUGUACUUGUAUGGAGGUCAAGUGACUGCUUGGAAGAAUGAGAAAGGAGAGGAGUUACUUUUCGCAAGGUUCUUCAUAUUCAUCCUUUUAAUUAUAUCAUCAUAUCUAUUAUCUAUAUAUAAUAUAUGCCCUAGCUAAUCAUGAGUGAGAUUUGUGAUUUGAUAUCAUAUGUGAUGUAUUCGACCUAUACGCCAACGUUGACUGGGCAGUGGGCAAACUUAUGAUUCGGACUAUAGGCCAGCUUCCGAUGUUAAUGGUUACAGCAGUUACAAUUUAUGAAUCGUUGUGCUCUGUGUUGUUCCGAAGUUUAAAAAAAAAACAAGUGCUAGAGAGCCAAUGUAGUUGAAUGUGCAGUGUAAAUCUAGGUGCCUCUUUCUUUCAUAUUUCGAUGUAUUUGACACGAUAGAUCUAGUCACAUAGAACAGUUUCAUGUUUUUUUUUUC